rnacentral:tRNA from 1 species
GGGCGCGUAGCUCAGUGGGAGAGCACUGCCUUCACACGGCAGGGGUCGCUGGUUCGAAACCAGCCGCGCCCACCA